AUUAUCUAAUAUGUAAUUAUAUUUUGUUUUUUCCAAAAUGAUUUAAGAAAUGACCCCCACUCUCAAGCUCUGAUGUUGUUUACACGGGUGGGCUUUAUUUUUCUGGGCUUUACACAUUCACGAACAAACGCUACCAUGGCGAUUAUCCCCUGAAAUUUGCAUCGUUCUUCUCCAUCAGUCGGUCUCCAUUCUUCACUCCGGCUAGGUUUUUGAAAUUAGGUUGGAAACUAUAGUCGAUAAACGAAUUGAUUCCUCUUCGCUGUUUCUAUCGAACCAUUGAUCAUCUUGUCAGACAGGUUUGCGUUUCAAUUUUGUUGUUCUCACUUUGUUUCUAUAUUUAUUUACGGUUAGGUUUUCGAUAUUUGAUUCUUAGAAAUGAAUUCUUAGCAAAUUACGAUUUUUUGAUUUUUAAGAGCAGUAUGUAUUUGUUCAAGACCAGUACUCCUUUCAUGUGUGACAUCCCCUUAUUUGAUUUUUAAGAGCAGUUUAUUCUGCUUAGAUCGAGAAUAUGAGAUUGUGAGCUUAAGUUGGCACACUAUGUAUUUGUCUAAGAGAUUUUACAGAGUAUGUCAUAUAAGAUUUGGAAUCAUUUGUCGAGGAAGCAAUUGGAUGAUCCACUUCCGAAAAGGAACCCUUAUUUGAUGAAGCACAUGUUUUAUUUUGGCUAAAGAGGAAAGUAAAUUUUUGAAGUUCUUAAGGUUUAUGUGGAACCCUCUAUCAUGGGUUAUGGAAGCAGCAACUAUUAUGGCCAUUGCACUGGCCAAUGGAGGAUUUUUAAAGAACGUGCAAAGUGAUAUGCUCCUCAAAAGUAGGUGAGAACCAAAUAUGAUACAAGUUUUUGCUUCUCUAUUCUACGUGUCUGGUUUAGAUUCACUUAUAUACUUGUUUGUUUGUACCACCACAUCAACUUGGAUGGAUUUACUUCAUCUCCAACCGUUUUUAAAGAGCAAGCAACAUGAGUCUGCUUAAGACACUAUUCAAGCAUUGGAUGUUCUCAGGGAUGCUCCAUCGAAACUGUAAGAUUCUUAAUGCUACCUUAUUUUAUCAUUUGAAAAUGUCUUGGGCAGUAGUUUAUUUUGGUUUGGGUAUGUUGUUGUGUGACUUUAUAAAUUAUAAUAGUGUACUCUGUGUGGUUCUAAAGGAAUGAGUUAAUGCAAAUGUUUUGUUUAAGAAAUUUAUUUUCUCAAGUAAAAAGCAGAUUCUAUCUUGACAGCCA